rnacentral:rRNA from 1 species
GAUGAACGCUGGCGGCAUGCCUAAUACAUGCAAGUCGAACGAGUGGCGGACGGGUGAGUAGGUUCUGGAAAACUGGCUGAUGGAGGGGGAUAACUGCGGGAAACGGUAGCUACAACCGCAUAACGUCCGUUCGGGCGAGAUGGGAUUAGCUUGUUGGUGGGGUAACGGCUCACCAAGGCGACGAUCCCUAGCUGGUCUGAGAGGAUGAGCGGCCACACUGGAACUGAGACACGGCCCAGACUCCUACGGGAGGCAGCAGUGGGGAAUAUUGCACAAUGGGCGCAAGCCUGAUGGAGCCAUGCCGCGUGUAUGAAGAAGGCCUUCGGGUUGUAAAGUACUGUCAGCGGGGAGGCGGUACCCGCAGAAGAAGCACCGGCUAACUCCGUGCCAGCAGCCGCGGUAAUUC